GUCAUCUUUGCUUUGAACCAGACCCUCCUGCAGCAAGAGAGCCUGAGAGCAGGUGGCCUUCAGAUGCCCUACUCCUCAGAGGACUUCAUCAAACACUAUAACUGCGGGGACCUCAGCUCCAUCAUCUUCAGCCAUGAUAGCUCCCAGGUUCCCAAUUUUAUUAAUGCCACGCUACUGCCCCAGGAACGCAUCACUGCUCAGGAGAUUGACAGCUACUUCCGCCGGCAGCUCAUCCACAAGCGGGACGAGAGGAUGGGGAAGAGGGUGAAGGCCCUUUUGGAAGAGUUCCCCGACAAAGACUUCUUCUUUGCCUUUGGAGCUGGGCAUUUCAUGGGCAACAACACAGUUCUGGAUGUCAUUCGGCGUGAAGGCUAUGAGAGGCAAGAGUAAAAGCCCCGCAUUGCGUCCUGCUGCCUCUCUUGGCUCCGGAAGCGCCGACCCCGGAAGCAUCUCUACCGGAAGCUGGGGCCGCUGGGCGCUCACUGUUACCGCCCUACGCGUCUCUGCCUCACGUGACUGUGCCCGGAAGCAUGGACUUGCACAGAGGCAGAAAGAAAGUUCCGGAAGAAGCGGAGACGGCCUUAGCGGAGGCAGUGGCUUCGGCAGUUCAGCGACCUGUGCCUCUGACUGGAGGAGAGUGCUGUGGGCCCACAGCUCCAGGUCCUUGUUCUGGACGGGCACAUCUCCGCUGAGCUGUGGCUCUCUCACCAUGGACAUUCCCCCAGACGGUGGCCAGCAGUGCCUGCCUGUCUCUCUGGAUCCCUGCGUUCUGGGUGCUGGUGCUGGCUUUCCAGACAGAGGCACUCUUCCUGUACAGAGGAGACAAGCCAAGACCCUGGCCCCUCGGACUUGA
rnacentral:lncRNA from 1 species